rnacentral:rRNA from 1 species
GAUGAACGCUGGCGGCGUGCCUAAUACAUGCAAGUCGAGCGAACGGACGAGAAGCUUGCUUCUCUGAUGUUAGCGGCGGACGGGUGAGUAACACGUGGAUAACCUACCUAUAAGACUGGGAUAACUUCGGGAAACCGGAGCUAAUGCCGGAUGAUAUUUUGAACCGCAUGGUUCAAAAGUGAAAGACGGUCUUGCUGUCACUUAUAGAUGGAUCCGCGCUGCAUUAGCUAGUUGGUAAGGUAACGGCUUACCAAGGCAACGAUGCAUAGCCGACCUGAGAGUGUGAUCGGCCACACUGGAACUGAGACACGGUCCAGACUCCUACGGGAGGCAGCAGUAGGGAAUCUUCCGCAAUGGGCGAAAGCCUGACGGAGCAACGCCGCGUGAGUGAUGAAGGUCUUCGGAUCGUAAAACUCUGUUAUUAGGGAAGAACAUAUGUGUAAGUAACUGUGCACAUCUUGACGGUACCUAAUCAGAAAGCCACGGCUAACUACGUG